GAAUAAACUUGGUAACCAUGUUCAAGCAUUCGUUAACCGAGUUACGGCGUCCGAAAGCCCCGUAUGAACCUUAGGAAUAGUUAGGAUACAUAUUUCAUGACAUAGGAUUUCGAUAUGUGAUGUGCGAGUAAGACCAUGGCAUCGAUAUGUGACUUCGAUAUAUGUGUGCGAGUACGACCCUGUCUGGGACAGUGGCAUCGAUAUGUGGUUACAUGUAAGACCUCAUCUGGGACGUUGGCAUUGUACGAUAUAUGUGUGACUAUCCGAGUGUCCUAUCCAAUUUCGAAUGGUUCAACGGGCAUCGAUAAGUUGAGAUCAAAUGUGCAAAAGUGAGCUACAAUGGUCAGUUUUAUAGAUUUUGGAUUCAAGUUUCGAGCUCGGGAAUCGUCAGAGAAGCUUAUCACACUAUCGACUGUCUUCGGUAUUUUAUAAGCUGAAUUUUCGAACCUAUGACAUGUAUAGGCUAGAUUGUAAUUUGAAAUGUUGGAUUUUGGUUUUGUAUAAUUUAGGCCAUGCGAAAAUGGCCUAACUUCAAUGCUUUAUUAUGGUUUUGUUUGAUUAUGGCUUACGUUCAUUUGGUUAUUAUGCUAUAUGUCCUGAAUGAAUGGUAUUUGUGAUA